CGACCCUUCCCUUCGGGGGAAUGACGGCCACGGACAGCCGGGUCGACUGCCGA
rnacentral:sRNA from 12 species